UAUAUCCGUGUAUUUCGUAGA
rnacentral:piRNA from 1 species